rnacentral:rRNA from 1 species
UACGUAGGGUGCGAGCGUUAAUCGGAAUUACUGGGCGUAAAGCGUGCGCAGGCGGUUCGUUGUGUCGGUGGUGAAAGCCCCGGGCUUAACCUGGGAAUGGCCAUGGAAACUGGCGAACUGGAGUGUGGCAGAGGGGGGUGGAAUUCCGCGUGUAGCAGUGAAAUGCGUAGAGAUGCGGAGGAACACCGAUGGCGAAGGCAGCCCCCUGGACCUGUACUGACGCUCAUGCACGAAAGCGUGGGGAGCAAACAGG